CACGUAGGGUGCGAGCGUUGUCCGGAAUUAUUGGGCGCAAAGAGCUCGUAGGCGGUGUGUCGCGUCGGCCGUGAAAACCUGCAGCUUAACUGUGGGCUUGCGGUCGAUACGGGCAUCACUGGAGUUCGGCAGGGGAGACUGGAAUUCCUGGUGUAGCGGUGAAAUGCGCAGAUAUCAGGAGGAACACCGGUGGCGAAGGCGGGUCUCUGGGGCCGAUACUGACGCUGAGGAGCGAAAGCGUGGGGAGCGAACAGG
rnacentral:rRNA from 1 species